UUUUUUUUUCCUUUUUUGAAGAUGGACUCUUGCUCUGUCACCCAGGCUGGAGUUCAGUGGUGCGACCUCAGCUCACUGCAACCUCUGCCUCCUGGGUUCAAGAAAUUCUGUCUCAGCCUCCCGAGUAGCUGGGACUACAGGCACACGCUGCCACGCCCAGCUAAUUUUUUGUAUUUUAAUAGAGAUGAGGUUUCACCGUGUUGCCCAGGCUGGUCUCGAACUCCUGAGCUCAGGCAAUCCACCCGCUUUGGCCUCCCAAAGUGCUAGGAUUAUAGGCAUGAGCCACUGUGCCCAGCCAAUAUUCUUUAUAUUACUGAUAGUAUAAGCAAUAUCACCAACUGUAGUAAUAAUAAAAGCAGCAUUUGAAUAGUAUUUCAUAGCUUUCAAAACAUUUUCACAUUUAUUUUAUUUUCACACACACCCUGGCCAUUUAAAAUUGGGUGAUGUUUACUGAGCUCUUACUGCAUGCCAUAAUCUGUAUUGGGUGCUUUCUAUACUUUAGUAAUCCUCUCUACCUAUACCUUCUUUAAGGAGUUUUGUCUCUAAAAUCCUUUACUUGUUGUAUCAGACAGGGUUCACUCAAAGACUCAUGAACAUAAUUUUAUAUGGAAUUCCAAUUUCAUUGGGAAUUAGUUUAUGAAAUUAUAGAUGCUGCCUAAGUGGUCUCUGCAAGGCUGUCUCUCAGCCUAAUGCUAGAGCUUGAAGUCUCCAGGCAGAUUGGUCAGAAGAGGAAGAUCACAUGCAGGCUGGAACCUCAUAAGUACAAACAGAAUCCCAUGUCUGUUCUUGUUGCCUCUGACCUUGGUAAUGAGGGUAUCUUGUGGAAGCCACAAGGGUAUCUCUUGUAGUCCACCCUUCAGGGCAAACUGCAGCUCAGAGCACUGGGAGUAAGAUCAUAGGCCCUGCCAACAAGCCUCAUGUGCGGAGCUCUGACAUCAGUGUUUCCUGGGAAUUUCUUGCCAUUAAUAACCUUUGUGCUUUGAUAUUUGCUUAACGAGAAAGAAAGCUCUGUAUUCAGUGGAGAAGCUGGCUUCCCAGA
rnacentral:lncRNA from 10 species